GUGUCAGCAGCCGCGGUAAGACGAGGGAUCCUAGCGUUGUUCGGAAUCAUUGGGCGUAAAGCGGAUGUAGGUGGCUUUGUAAGUCAGGUGUGAAAGCCCCGGGCUCAACCCGGGAAGUGCAUUUGAUACUGCGAAGCUUGAGUGCUAGAGAGGUUACUAGAAUACCUGGUGUAGUGGUGAAAUACGUAGAUAUCAGGUGGAAUACCGGAGGCGAAGGCGGGUAACCAGCUAGACACUGACACUCAGAUCCGAAAGUGUGGGGAUCAAACAGGAUUAGAAACCCGUGUAGUCC
rnacentral:rRNA from 1 species